UUAAGCAUAUCAAUAAGCGGAGGAAAAGAAACCAACAGGGAUUGCCUUAGUAGCGGCGAGUGAAGCGGCAAGAGCUCAAAUUUGAAAUCUGGUACCUUCGGUGCCCGAGUUGUAAUUUGAAGAAAGCUAUCUUGGAGGUGGCCUUUGUCUAUGUUCCUUGGAACAGGACGUCAUGGAGGGUGAGAAUCCCGUGUGAUGAGGUGUCCAUUUCCGUGUAAGAUGCUUUCGAAGAGUCGAGUUGUUUGGGAAUGCAGCUCAAAGUGGGUGGUAAAUUCCAUCUAAAGCUAAAUAUUGGCGAGAGACCGAUAGCGAACAAGUACUGUGAAGGAAAGAUGAAAAGAACUUUGAAAAGAGAGUGAAAAAGUACGUGAAAUUGUUGAAAGGGAAGGGUAUUUGAUCAGACUUGGUAUUUAGCUAUCAUCGCUCCUUGUGGGUGGUGCUCUAGCUUUUUACUGGGCCAGCAUCAGUUUUGGUGGCAAGAUAAUGACAGUUGAAUGUGGCUCCUCGGAGUGUUAUAGCUUCUGUUGAUGUUGCCUACCGAGACUGAGGUCUGCGGCUUUUGCCUAGGAUGCUGGCGUAAUGAUCCAAUACCGCCCG
rnacentral:rRNA from 1 species